CGCCCUGCCACACAGUUGUUAUCUGCAUGCAUGGUGUUUUGUGAGAUGGGCAUCCCUCUGAACUCAUCCCAUAUGGACAUGUGGUCUCAACUUCUUUGGAUCCCAUUUAAACAGACUGAGAAUACUUAAAUGUUAUUUUUCAACAUGGAGGGCUCCAAACAAAGAUUACAAGAAAGGAGUGAGGAGACAAAAUGAAAAAAGUCCCUGAGGUCUGAAGAAGCACUGAAGGCAAUUCCAAUAUAUUGUCUUGGAGAAUGAGGCUGGAUGGAGCCAGAGUGAGCCAGGACUAUCAGAAUAUAAUGCCAGGUCCAUGUGUCGGGAUACCACGGAGUAAAAAAGAAGAAGAAGAAUCUUCAGGGAGGAUUCGAGAAGAUGAAAAAGACUGAAAUGGCAUUCAUGCGGUGGCUUGUGAAUAAAAGAUGAAAGUUUUGACUUGGCUCCAAGUUUCUUCUCUCUUGUGGCUCAUCUCAAUUACUAUAGAGGCGGUUUAGAGGAGAACAGAGUCAGUAAAGUACACACUAAAGAGGAGCUGAUGUGGGAACGCUCAAGGAAAUUUUUCAUAUUUAA